CAUUGAACAUGGUGUUGGGGCUGAAGUGGGUUUUCUUUGUUGUUUUUUAUCAAGGUGUGCAUUGUGAGGUGCAGCUUGUUGAGUCUGGUGGAGGAUUGGUGCAGCCUAAAGGGUCAUUGAAACUCUCAUGUGCAGCCUCUGGAUUCACCUUCAAUACCUAUGUCAUGAGCUGGGUCCGCCAGGCUACAGGAAAGGGUUUGGAAUGGGUUGCUCAAAUAAGAAGUAAAAGUAAUAAUUAUGCAACAUAUUAUGCCGAUUCAGUGAAAGACAGAUUCACCAUCUCCAGAGAUGAUUCACAAAGCAUGCUCUAUCUGCAAAUGAACAACCUGAAAACUGAGGACACAGCCAUGUAUUACUGUGUAAGAGACACAGUGUGGAAUUUUCAAUGUGAGCCUAGACACAAACCUCCAGUUCAGGUACCAUUGACCAGCAGGGGGUGCUUAGUACACACAGGGACAAGAUCAGCUCAGAUGAAGAUGCAGACAUAA